UAUUUGCAAUUUUUUCACAACAAGAAACAAGGGAGAGAGGUCAAUUUGUACAGACUCUUGCCAGUGCUAUAUGGCAAACAAAAAUCCAAAACGUACAAAGAGUAAACAAGUUUUUAGACCACGUGGAUAGAUUAACAGCUGCUUUGACUCUAUAACCACCAGACAUCUGCAAAGGAAAAUAAAACCGAACUGUGGUUAUUUGGACUAGGAAGGCGCAUAUAUUGUUUUAUGCAAGUUGUCCACUAAAACAUUUGAAACUGGCUACUUUUCUCUAAGAACAACAUGGUAGCUCCUCAAUUAGUAAAGUUGCCUAAGAUUUUUUCCAAUCAUCAACCGACAGUAAAAAUUUUUCUUUAGAAAGGUGACCUUUCAGAAUCAUUUUUUAAUGCUAGGCAUUAGCUUUGUUUUUCAAACUCACUGGUGACUAGAAUUCUCAACUGUUUUAUUUAAUAUAAAUUUAUUAUCUUCUUAAAAACGUAUGCAGUUUUAUCUUCCACAAGUGCUGCUGUUACUUGAACAAAAACUUCUUUGAGUAAGUGAAACUGGAAUAAAUAUUUUUAAAAAAUUCUGCAGCAAGAACCUGAGACUUGCAAAAAACCCUUUUAUCAGAAACUUGCUACAAAAAAUCUGCUACAUUUUAUUUAAUCAAAUCUUAAAGUUUGUAACAAUUUCCAUCAAAAUACAAAAUGCUGUUAAUGUACCAGCCACAAAAAUAUCUCGAACAGGUAUGAUGCUAAUAAAUACUAAAUGAAACAUGGAAAAAAAAAUCCCACAAUCAAAUCCGAGAUCAAAGAAUCUCAUUUAAAAAUGUGUUUUCUGCUUGUUUUUGUUCGUUUUAAUCGCACUUUCCCACCUAAAAAAUACAGCGUUUCUGCACGGGUUGCAUUUAGAAGGUGUAACUAGAUGUACAUGAACACUUGAAACCUUUUUCUGUCAUUAGGGAUAAAGAAAAAAAGUGGCAUUCAGGAGA